rnacentral:rRNA from 1 species
GAUGAACGCUGGCGGCGUGCCUAAUACAUGCAAGUCGAGCGAACGGACGAGAAGCUUGCUUCUCUGAUGUUAGCGGCGGACGGGUGAGUAACACGUGGAUAACCUACCUAUAAGACUGGGAUAACUUCGGGAAACCGGAGCUAAUACCGGAUAAUAUUUUGAACCGCAUGGUUCAAAAGUAAAAGACGGUCUUGCUGUCACUUAUAGAUGGAUCCGCGCUGCAUUAGCUAGUUGGUAAGGUAACGGCUUACCAAGGCAACGAUGCAUAGCCGACCUGAGAGGGUGAUCGGCCACACUGGAACUGAGACACGGUCCAGACUCCUACGGGAGGCAGCAGUAGGGAAUCUUCCGCAAUGGGCGAAAGCCUGACGGAGCAACGCCGCGUGAGUGGUGAAGGUCUUCGGAUCGUAAAACUCUGUUAUUAGGGAAGAAUAUAUGUGUAAGUAACUGUGCACAUCUUGACGGUACCUAAUCAGAAAGCCACGGCUAACUACGUGCCAGCAGCCGCGGUAAUACGUAGGUGGCAAGCGUUAUCCGGAAUUAUUGGGCGUAAAGCGCGCGUAGGCGGUUUUUUAAGUCUGAUGUGAAAGCCCACGGCUCAACCGUGGAGGGUCAUUGGAAACUGGAAAACUUGAGUGCAGAAGAGGAAAGUGGAAUUCCAUGUGUAGCGGUGAAAUGCGCAGAGAUAUGGAGGAACACCAGUGGCGAAGGCGACUUUCUGGUCUGUAACUGACGCUGAUGUGCGAAAGCGUGGGGAUCAAACAGGAUUAGAUACCCUGGUAGUCCACGCCGUAAACGAUGAGUGCUAAGUGUUAGGGGGUUUCCGCCCCUUAGUGCUGCAGCUAACGCAUUAAGCACUCCGCCUGGGGAGUACGACCGCAAGGUUGAAACUCAAAGGAAUUGACGGGGACCCGCACAAGCGGUGGAGCAUGUGGUUUAAUUCGAAGCAACGCGAAGAACCUUACCAAAUCUUGACAUCCUUUGACAACUCUAGAGAUAGAGCCUUCCCCUUCGGGGGACAAAGUGACAGGUGGUGCAUGGUUGUCGUCAGCUCGUGUCGUGAGAUGUUGGGUUAAGUCCCGCAACGAGCGCAACCCUUAAGCUUAGUUGCCAUCAUUAAGUUGGGCACUCUAAGUUGACUGCCGGUGGCAAACCGGAGGAAGGUGGGGAUGACGUCAAAUCAUCAUGCCCCUUAUGAUUUGGGCUACACACGUGCUACAAUGGACAAUACAAAGGGCAGCGAAACCGCGAGGUCAAGCAAAUCCCAUAAAGUUGUUCUCAGUUCGGAUUGUAGUCUGCAACUCGACUACAUGAAGCUGGAAUCGCUAGUAAUCGUAGAUCAGCAUGCUACGGUGAAUACGUUCCCGGGUCU